AACGAACGCUGGCGGCAUGCCUAACACAUGCAAGUCGAACGAGAUCUUCGGGUCUAGUGGCGCACGGGUGCGUAACGCGUGGGAGUCUGCCCUUUGGUUCGGAAUAACAGUUGGAAACGACUGCUAAUACCGGAUGAUGACGAAAGUCCAAAGAUUUAUCGCCAGAGGAUGAGCCCGCGUAGGAUUAGCUAGUUGGUGUGGUAGAGGCGCACCAAGGCGACGAUCCUUAGCUGGUCUGAGAGGAUGAUCAGCCACACUGGGACUGAGACACGGCCCAGACUCCUACGGGAGGCAGCAGUGGGGAAUAUUGGACAAUGGGCGAAAGCCUGAUCCAGCAAUGCCGCGUGAGUGAUGAGGGCCUUAGGGUUGUAAAGCUCUUUUACCCGGGAUGAUAAUGACAGUACCGGGAGAAUAAGCUCCGGCUAACUCCGUGCCAGCCGCCGCCGUAA
rnacentral:rRNA from 1 species